UGCAGCUUUGUCAAAUUCAGUGCUCUCUUUACUAGGUUGCACUGGCCAAAAUAGCUGCAACAGUAAGUGUAAUUCAUGGGCCUCGCAAUUCUUCGCAAUGGAUUGAGAGGAUAAACAUGUAUUACUGACAAAC
ensembl:snoRNA small nucleolar RNA SNORA5